UCCUGUCUUCUUUUAGUUGUUUAUAUGUACAAAUAAUUCUAUAUUAUUUUCAAUGAUUAUGUCUGGGUUCUCUCGCUCUUUCUUGAAUCUCUUGCUAAUACUAGCUGCUAUUGGCAACAUUAAAUUGUCUGCUCUGUCAAGAAUAUUUUGCUUUUAAGCCAAGCGUGUAGGUAAAAAUCUCAGUUGUUAAUGUAAUUCUUUCCCCAG
rnacentral:misc_RNA from 1 species